rnacentral:rRNA from 1 species
CGGAGGAUCCAAGCGUUAUCCGGAUUCAUUGGGUUUAAAGGGUGCGUAGGCGGAACGAUAAGUCAGUGGUGAAAGCCUGCAGCUUAACUGCAGAACUGCCAUUGAUACUGUCGAUCUUGAGUACAUUUGAUGAGGGCGGAAUGUGUCAUGUAGCGGUGAAAUGCUUAGAUAUGACACAGAACACCGAUUGCGAAGGCAGCUCUCAAAACUGUAACUGACGCUGAGGCACGAAAGCGUGGGUAUCAAACAGGAUUAGAUACCCUGGUAGUCCACGCUGUAAACUAUGAUUACUCGAUGUUUGCGAUAUACUGUAAGCGUCUAAGCGAAAGCGAUAAGUAAUCCACCUGGGGAGUACGCCGGCAACGGUG